rnacentral:ribozyme from 1 species
AGAAAAAAGGGUAAGGAGGGCCGCAUUGAACCGAAAUGGAUAUGUUUUUUUUUUUUUUUUUUUUUCUUCGUCUUC